AGCGUUUUUCCGGGGUAAUGGGGGGGUUACGUUUCGGAACGGACGCUAAUACCGCAUACGUCCUACGGGAGAAAGAGGGGACCUUCGGGCCUUGCGCUAUCAGAUGAGCCUAGGUCGGAUUAGCUAGUUGGUGAGGUAAUGGCUCACCAAGGCUACGAUCCGUAACUGGUCUGAGAGGAUGAUCAGUCACACUGGAACUGAGACACGGUCCAGACUCCUACGGGAGGCAGCAGUGGGGAAUAUUGGACAAUGGGCGAAAGCCUGAUCCAGCCAUGCCGCGUGUGUGAAGAAGGUCUUCGGAUUGUAAAGCACUUUAAGUUGGGAGGAAGGGCAUUAACCUAAUACGUUAGUGUUUUGACGUUACCGACAGAAUAAGCACCGGCUAACUACGUGCCAGCAGCCGCGGUAAUACGUAGGGUGCAAGCGUUAAUCGGAAUUACUGGGCGUAAAGCGUGCGCAGGCGGUUAUAUAAGACAGAUGUGAAAUCCCCGGGCUCAACCUGGGAACUGCAUUUGUGACUGUAUAGCUAGAGUACGGCAAAGGGGGAUGGAAUUUCCCGCG
rnacentral:rRNA from 1 species